UACGUAGGGUGCGAGCGUUAAUCGGAAUUACUGGGCGUAAAGCGUGCGCAGGCGGUUCGUUGUGUCGGCGGUGAAAGCCCCGGGCUCAACCCUGGGAAUGGCCGUUGAAACUGGCGAACUGGAGUGUGGCAGAGGGGGGUGGAAUUCCGCGUGUAGCAGUGAAAUGCGUAGAGAUGCGGAGGAACACCGAUGGCGAAGGCAGCCCCCUGGGCUGACACUGACGCCUCAGGCACGAAAGCGUGGGGAGCAAACAGG
rnacentral:rRNA from 1 species